rnacentral:rRNA from 1 species
AUCAUGGCUCAGGAUGAACGCUAGCGGCAGGCUCAACACAUGCAAGUCGAGGGGCAGCACGUCUUCGGAUGGCGGCACCGGCGCACGGGUGCGUAACGCGUAUAGAACCUACCUUUUACAGGGGAAUAGCCCAGAGAAAUUUGGAUUAAUGCCCCAUAGUAUUAUUGAAUGGCAUCAUUUAAUAAUUAAACAUUUAUGGGUAAAAGAUGGCUAUGCGUUCUAUUAGCUAGUAGGUAAGGUAACGGCUUACCUAGGCAACGAUAGAUAGGGGUCCUGAGAGGGAGAUCCCCCACACUGGUACUGAGACACGGACCAGACUCCUACGGGAGGCAGCAGUGAGGAAUAUUGGACAAUGGGCGAGAGCCUGAUCCAGCCAUGCCGCGUGCAGGAAGACGGUCCUAUGGAUUGUAAACUGCUUUUAUACAGGAAGAAACACUCGGACGUGUCCGAGCUUGACGGUACUGUAUGAAUAAGCACCGGCUAACUCCGUG